rnacentral:misc_RNA from 1 species
GAUGAAGAACGUAGCGAAAUGCGAUAAGUAAUGUGAAUUGCAGAAUUCAGUGAAUCAUCGAAUCUUUGAACGCACCUUGCGCCCUUUGGCUAUUCCGAAGGGCAUGCCUGUUUGAGUAUCAUGAACAUCUCAACUCCUCGCGGUUUGCCCGUGACGAGCUUGGACUUUGGGGGUCUUGUCGGCCUGUGGGUCGGCUCCUCUCAAAUGAAUCAGCUUGCCGGUGUUUGGUGGCGUCACAGGUGUGAUAACUAUCUACGCUUGUGGUUUUCCGCCAGGUAACCUCCAGCAAUGGGGGUUCACUGGAGCUCACAAAUGUCUUUCCUCGGUGAGGACAGCUUUUUGAACGUUUGAUCUCAAAUCAGGUAGGACUACCCGCUGAACUUAAGCAUAUCAAUAAGCGGAGGA